AGUUCCCUGGCGUCCUGUGCAGGGAGGUUGUUGUUCUGGCGGUUAGGACUGCCCUGUGUUGAGUGGGCGGCACACAUGAGCCAGGGGGCAUCAUGGCUGUAGUUGUCGCGGUGGGCUCCUGGACGUCGCUGGGCAUGCCACACUCAGGAAGAGGAGAAGGAACCAUGUCCAGAAAAGGUGGAAAGACUAUGUCCAGUCGACAGAGGAUGCCUAGGACUCAUUUUGCUAUUUCAAAGUUCCUUUGUGAAAGAACUUUGGAAGUGAUGCAACUCCAGAAGAAUCUUUGGAUUCUUUUAAAAACACGUGACAACAAAAUGAGGAGCUUGAACUGAUUAUUGAUUUGACAUGUAUGAAGCACUCCUAUAAAGCAAAGGCGGCAAAGCUGAGAAAACCUAUUUCUACAAUCUACUGCAUCCUAGAUACAUGGCCAUUAUGGAUUUCUAGGAAGGUGAGUGAAAAGGCUGAACUUCCAAGUGCCUCAGAAAGGACCAUAAGCCUCAUCAUCUCUAUGUUCUGACGGCUGACAUGGCCUUUAUUUCUUCUUUGAUGUGUACACAGAACACAUACCCUCUUCGUGGGCAGGACCAUAUUUCCUCCAAGCUAUAGGAUGUUAAUGUAAAAAAUCCGAUUGUAAAAUGGGAACAUGAGAAAAAUGCUAAGUCAUUGAUUUGCCCUCCAUGAGGCCCUCUUUCCUGAGAGUACCACAAAGGGGGCAUAAAUUCUUCUCCAACCUCUGGUCACAGCUGACUGGAUGUUGAGACCAUGGAAUUUAGUGUCAACCUGACUGGAGCAUUAUUUCUGGAUGUAGCCAUGAGGAAUUUCUAAGAAAACUGGUGUGUAUGUGGGUGCCUGGGCUCUGUGGGCAAGGUCUACUUUCAACAUAGGUGGACAGCAUGCAGCCAGUCUGGAGCUGCAUGGGACAGACAAGCAGAGAAGAAGAAAUUUCCCCUGUGUCUCUCCUGGAACAGACAUACUUCUCUCCUGUCUUUAGACAUUGGAACUCCAAGUCCUCUAGGCUCUGGGUUCUGGGUUGUGGACUUGUCCUCGAACCUCAGAUCUCUGGUCUCAGACUGAGACUCACACACGUGACUUCCCUGGUCUGUGUUUCUGAGACAUUAUCGGAGCCAAACUACCAGUAUUGCAGAGCUUCCCACCUGCAGAAAGCCUGUUGUGGGAAUGCUCAGCCGUAUAGGCCAAUCCCUCUAAGAGCUGUUGGCCCAGAGGAACUUCACUUAGAUUUCAAAAGAUGCUGUGGCCAGCCUCAGUGCCAACACAGAGACUGUCUCAAGAGAAGAUCUCCACAGAACGUCUACUCUCAGGCAAAGUGUAGGAGUACGGCAGGGGGAGCCCGUAGGUAACUCUAUGGUGACCAGUGUGCAUCUGCAGCCUGGAAAAGCUGCAGUCCCGAGACUGAGCCUAGCAAAGCCAUAAUAGACAGAGUUCUGCGCUUAAUUGGAACUAGUCACUCCUUGCCUGUUUCUCCCUUCUGAAUGGAACUGAACAUUUUUCUCCUGAACCUCCAUUGAUUUUGCCAGUGUGUAGACUGCCCAGUGCAUAGGCUCACAGCCAAAGCAUGUUGACUCUACCUGUAUCUGGAAAUGUGUGGAUUGCUGACUUCACAGGCUCCCAGAUGAAGUGAGGACCACCUCUACAUUAGAAUUGUUCUUUGAUAUUUAUCUAGCCUUGUUAGUGUAGUACUCUUUAUAGCCAGAUUGGCCAGUGCUGAUAUGCUGGAGGCCACCUCCUUUAGAAUGACACUUGCCCAUCCUGAAAGGGUGAUGCCAGUGUGUUGGGGGCCACAUCUUUUAAAAUGGUGCUGUCCCUAGUCCAAGUUACACCUUCACAGGCAUCUUCUACACCAUGUACCAGUAGUGGAUUGUUGGGGUGUUUUCUAUAUAGGGAACUUCAGUCUUAGUGGAUGAUCAUAAUGUGAUGAAGUCUACCUCUUCACAGGGAUUUUCUGCAUCAGCUGCCACCAGUCUAGUUGGAUCAGAGUCCACCUUGAUGAAAUCCCUAGACAAUUGUUUAAAUUUUUUUAGUUCAUACCAGAGGUGCACUUCCUCUUCUUUCUUCUUCUGCAGAGAAAAAGAAAAAUACUUAGGCUUAUAGUUCAUAUCUCUAAAAAGGUCUCAGCAUGGUUAUGAACCAAAGUGUAGUUUUGCUCUGGUCUGAUUUGCUAGCACAUAAUCCAUGCUCUCCUGCAUACCCCAAGAGCUAUGAAGCACAGUUACCACACCCUUACUGAAUUAUGAUAUAGCUGUCUUUAGGACCAGUGAAGUCUCAAUAUUUCCAAUACCCCACUGCACGUGUGCGUGUGCGUGUGCGUGUGUGCAUGCAUGUUAGUGUGGAGCUCAGUUAUCAAUCUUUUGUUGUGGACUACAUCAGUUUUGGGGGGAGAGUCUUUUAUUGAUAUUGAAACUUACCCACUUGGUAAUGCUUACUGGCCAGCAUACACCAAGGAUCAGCCUGUCUCUUCCACCCCAGUGCUGGGAUUACAAGUGUUCAUCAGCCUCCUGCUUUAUUUUUAUCAUUAUUAUCAUCAUUAUUGCUGAUACUUGUGUUCAGGGCCUAGAGCUCAGGUCCUUGUGCUUGCCUGACAAGCACUUUAUGGCCUGAGGAUCUCUCAGACCUGCACUUUACUCUUUCCUGAAGUCUUGAUGCACCUUCAUUGUCUGUAUCUGAUAACCUGUCAUCCACAGUUCCAUUCUUUGCCGACAUUGUAUAUUCUGUAUCCCAGGCAAGGCUGACAGUAAAUGUUAUACCCGCUGAUCAGCAGUCUCUAGUGAAUCUGAACUGAAAAUAAAGCCUCCAUUUUGUUUCUGAUGCUCACUUCCAGUGACAUUUAAAACAGCACAAAAUACCAAGUAAUAAACUUGGUUUGGAGAUGUAUGAUGCAGAGCUGUUCAGUCCUCUACUGCCUGACAACACCAGCUUACAGAAUACCUCGGCAAACAGCUAUAAAUUAGUGUGUAGCUGCCUAUACCUCGGCAAACAGCUAUAAAUUAGUGUGUAGCUGCCUAUAGUGCGCAUUCUUGUCCAGCUAGGGAGCACUGCUGAGCCCUACGUGUUUCUCCAAGAGCUAAAACUAACUAUUCCCAACAAGAUAGUACUCAUAGCUCUGGGAAGAUCAUUGACUACAGAUGGUACCAGAUAUGAUCUAAACUUCUUGCUUCAACCCUGUGAAAAACCUUAUGUUCUAGUGAGAAUGUUCACUGUGGUUAGGUCUCUUGCUGUAGAUUUAGCAGAAAGGUCACAGAUGUCUGUCCUCAAGUCAUCCUCUUAGACACAUAGGCUGAAUCUGUAAGAAUCCUCCAUAUCACUAUUGGCCAUUGACUUUCUUGAGUUACUGGCCUAUGCGUCCCCCAAACGAACCAGUCCAUUAAAAUCACAGACUCCAUUGGUGCAGCACAGCACAGUUCCGGCACAGGCUGAGUAGCUGACACACAAUCCUCCUGUUUGUGAUCUCUACACUGACUUUGUCUGCCAGAUGCUGUUCAUACUUCUUGGUGUACCUCUUUAGGAGGAGACAUUUCAGGCUGUUGGCUCUGGGAAGAUGAUUUUUCAGUCUGAGAUACAGCACUGAAAUGGCAAAUGAGAACAGUUCUAAUGUUAGAAAAGAGAGAAGACAGGUCGGGAGAGGCAGCCGUGUCUCACAUGCAGCGACACCCCUGCCCUGCCAUGCUGCCCGUCUGUACUGCCCUGCAGAGGCAGCACCAACUCCUUUCUCCUGCUCAGUCCUCGGGAUCUGAGGCUUCUGUCUGCACAGCUCUAUGCUGCUCUGAAGCUUCCAGGUCGGCCGCAGAGACAGGGAAGACCCACCUUGAGGGUGUUCUUUCUUCCAGUGGUAACAGGUGUUUGAUAUUUGGUGUGUCUUUGUACUUUCUCCCCAAAGAGUCUGAGAAAAGAGCAAAAUGACUAAGAUGUACAGAAAAUGUGCAGAUGUCCAAAUGAAUUCCCAAGGAGAUGUGGCCCCUGCACGCAGGGUUCAGAGGUAUCUGGAGUUCAGAGAAGAGGCACACUCUGAAAACCCUUCAUCUCCAUGCAUGGAGACAGGCCUGUGAUCUUUUCAAAAACAGGCACACAAAUGCAAACUCCACCUAUCUGAGUGCCAUUCUAGCACUCAGGAAGCUGUGGAUGACAUUAGUGGUCCAGUAGAAUCUAGAGGAAACAGCCCAUACUCUUCUACUUCAAAUCACAAUGUGAAGCUCUGCUUAUACAGUGCUUUAGGGUGUUAUUUCUCAGCCAGGGAAACACUACCUCAGAUAGCUUUAGGUCAUGUCUGGAGACAUGAGUUUGUCAGAGCUAGGGACAGGGGUGCUGCUGUCACCUAGUAGGGUGCUUCUCCCAGGGAUGCUGCUAACCUUCCACACUCAGAUCUGCUGUACGAAUUCUGUUACAUGUCUGUGGUACAAUUGAAAAGAGUGUUUUUGUAACAGAGAUCAGUCAUAGAACCAAGAAGUAUUCCCUACUGUGUCAGAAACCAUGCUUGAGAAGACUGAUAAGAAACUCAGUGUGUCAUGACUGAUGGACUGAUAAGAGACUCAGUGUGAUGACUGAUGUAUAUCUGUCUGUCUGGGAGGAAACAUGUGGAACUGGUUAGAGUCAGUGUCUUAGGGAGAGAGGGAUGGAGAGAGAUUUACUAUGAUCUUAAGAGACUUCUUUCUGUAAGUCUAGAUGGAAAACAAAAAGAACCCAUGUUCUAGAAUAAAGCCUGAAAUACGAGUUA